ensembl:lncRNA
AGCCAGGCGGCGGCCACCUGGGGGCACAGAUGGAGAAACGAUAUCGAUAUUGGGAGCAGGAGGGACCGUUGCAUAAGAGACCUUGCCUGCUCCAAGAUAAAAAUAUAGGAGCACAGCAAUAACAUGAUAAUAUCAAAACAGAGGCCAAGGGAGGGCUCCUUGAGAAAUCACUAAGAAUUCUUGGCAUUCGCUAAUUACUUCAUCCAGAACACCUGUGUAUGUUUAACAGCUGUAAGCUAUGUAUAUAUUGAAACGCUGGUUAUAAUAAACUCAGAGUGGCCAUCAGCUCUCUCCGCCUCUAUCCUGAUGUGUACAUUGGAUUGCGACACCGACAUAUGGUGACCCCAACGUGAUCCAAGAUCGGCGGCAUUAUUGGCCCUUGAUUUAUAGGGUCCCCGCGGAUGGAAGCUUUCCCCCCAUCAGCGGUUCUCCACUGAAUCAGCAGCAGGAGUCCUGGAUGAUCCCCUGGUCGCACGGCCCCUCCCCUGCUCCUUCCCGACCCGCGCCGCAGCCAUCGCAGACUCUAGGGGAGGGAGCGAUGUUCUCUCCUACCGUUCCAGCACCUCCGAGGCCAUCUGCAAGGUUUAUGAUCUCCGCCUUCUUGGUACUGUAGGUCUCUAAUGAGCUGCCAUUAUGUUUAUUCUCUGAAAUUCAGUUCUUCCAAUCUUUUGUUGUAUUUUGGAGGGGAGAGAAUCCCGGGUCAGCUCACCCCGCCAUUUUGCUCCGCCCCUAUUUCCUCUGACCUCCCAAUUUUUAAAUAGCUUUGAUCCAGAAAUUCCCUUAUGCUUUUAUGUGAUAAACACACCUAAGAGUCCUACUGUUAUCAUCUUUCAAAAAGCGGGCAAGGUUAUAAAAUGCUUGGAGUGGAUAUACUUGCCCCAGACACAAGCUAAGGUACUCUAUACAUAUUUUGAUGGAAUAGCAGAGGUUAUUCAAAGGGGAUGUUUGUGGUGUUUACAAUUGCAAGGCGCUGACCCUCAGACCAUUUUUUUACCUUGCACAUCUUCUCAAUUUGAUCAUCUCCUCGGUUAUCUCUUCCCAACCUAUUCCUGAUGCCUUAACCGUGUUCACUGACGGCUCCGGAAAAACCGGAAAAGCCAGUAUAGCUUGGCUUGCUAAUAAUGACCGGCAGACCAAAGUCUCUCACGGACAUUCAACUACUCAAAUUGCAGAAUUGGCAGCUGUGCACAUUUCUUUCUGAUAUCGCUUCUAUUGACACUCACUCUCAAUUUCUUUUCACAUCGGCACAUACAAAAAACAGCGCUAAACAAGUCAUUCAUCAUUAGCUUGCUACAUUUGCUUUCGUGGGGUCUCCUACAUGCAUUAAAACUGAUAAUGGUCCCGAGUUCUCAGCGCAAAUUUUCUGCCAAUUUUGUGCAAAUUGGAAUAUUAUCCAUAAAACUGGCAUCCCCUAUAAUUCUAUGGGACAAGCUAUUAUUGAGAGAUGUCAUAGAACACUGAAGACUGCUUUACAAAAAAUGAAAGGGGGAAAUGAGUAUUAUAAGAAUGAUCCACAAGGUAUCCUCAAUCACGCCUUAUUUACUUUAAAUUUUUUCAAUCUAGCGGAGGACGGCACAUCAGCUGCAGAAAGAUAUAUGGGUCAAACUCAGAACCAUAUGGCCCAACAAAGGCCGCAUUACACACAUCUGUUUUGACACAAUAUCUUGGCAAAAUGUGGAUUAAAACGUCCUUAUACGGAUAUCUGGGAGGGGCCUUUUAUGGUUAAAUGUGGGAAGAGAGGAGCUCUUUGUGUUUUGACAGAUAAAGGCAUUGAGUGCAUUCCAUCAAAACGCACACGGCCUGCUCUGGAAUAACCGGAAAAUGGACAAACAGAUAAGUAAAUCAGUUUUUUUCUUUUUCCUCUUUUCUUGUCUAAUGCAUGUUGAGGUGAUUUCAGAGCAUGCGAAUCUCACAUAUUGGGCCUUUAUUCCUAAUCCUCCUCUCUCUACUCUGGUUACUUGGUGGCUUGCCAAUCCCCCUUUGUCCUCUACUGAUGCUGAUUGGACAGGAGGAACUGGGGUACCCCGACAACAACAUACAGCCCUGCACCUAAAGGAAGAAGAACCUCUGGUGAUGUAUGCUAACAAUUCACCUUUUUGUAUGGUUUAUUAAAACAAAAGCACAACAUGUGUCGCCUUUCAGGAACAAAUGUAUUUUAUUACCAACCUAAGAAAGAACAACAGGCAGCCAAUGUGACAUACAUCACUGCUAUAUCAACAUCUUACGAAGACAGAAGUAAUGUCACACAAGUUCCUUCCAUCCCAAUUUGCCAUCCAAAAACUGAUUGGUGUUACAAACAUUACUCAGUACAGUGAUCCCCUUGCCGUACAGCAUAUCCAAGCCCGGGCAACACCUUUGGGGCCAACGUGCUGGAUUAGGGACCUCAUGGACAUCUUUUAAGUGACAAUCAUACUUGGGCCUUCAACAGAUCAAGUCAGAAACCUAUAACAUGGAGCGAACACAGCCCAUCUGGACCCCUUUCACAACUAUUGUACAAUGAGACAGUGUACAGCCCCCUCACAAAGGAAUAUGGAGGAUCGGGUUGCCUUUUAUAUGACAACGAUUGUCCCAUGCUACCUAAUGAAGAAGCUUCCCUUAUCAUCCCAUCUACCAGAUGAAAAGACCAAGGCACAGAGAGUAAGACGUACACCAGGAAGUGGCAAGAUCAGGACCCAGAUAGUAACACAGCACCUGCUACUCCGGCUCUGAUCACUGUCAUAUCUAAGCUCGUCAAGUGACAUUGCUGUACCAAGAGACAAAGGUGAGGGUUGGGCACAAGAGAAUACACAAGAGUUUUGGAAAGCAGAAGUGAAGCAGGAGCAAUUCUGUUCUGAAGAUUUCCUCCUCCCAGUGCUCCAAGUCCUGGGGCAGAUGAGUAUGUGGCUCCACAGUGAAGACUGCCAGUUCCUUCCAUGGGUCACCCACAACUUUGAGAUUGGUGAAAAAGAGACGAGGACUCCAGCUUGCUUUCGUGGGCCCAGUUCAUCCUUGCUCGAACACCCCUCACCUUCAUGUCCUGCUUUUCUUCCUGACUUUCACACCAGAAGACCUACAGUGACUUCAGCUCCGCUACCAAAAAGCAGCCUCCAUGCCCUUUUCACCAGCUCCCACCACUGCCUUCAGUUUCAUCCCCAAUAAUAAAUCCCAUCUUUCACGUG